AGCUGAUGGCACAGCCAAGCACCAGCUGAAGCAGCUUGCCAAGCUCUUCUGGGUCAGAGAACUCGCCAAUGAGGCUCACGUCUGGAAGGCUUCUUCCCAACCUUGCACUGGCUGUUCCCGGUGCCUAGAACCCUGUUCCUCCAAAUUUCACAUGGAGAUCAGCCCAUCGGGGCCAACCACCCGCCCAGCUGCCCUCUCUCACGGCCCAGCUUUUAUGGUCUUCGUAGAACUUAUUGCCACUGGAAGUUUA